UGAAGCUUAAGCGGGAUGUCAAUGGGGUUGGCAACUGUCAAAGUGGCGCUGGUGUGCAUUGUUCCCAUAACAUUCAAUAUUUGUAUUGGAAUUUGUGAUUAAAAAUUAUUUUAAGCACAAUGACGCGUUGUUUUGUACCAAUAUGGUCAGAAAUUGGAGUACAUCAAUUCCCGAAGGACAAGAAAAUUGGAAGACUGUGGUUAAAGGCCAUUUGACGCGAAAAAAGUACUCCCACAAAAAGUUCGAGGUUAUGUCGUAAACACUUUGUGGAAUCUGACUAUGAAAACAUUAGUAAAUACACAGGUGUCAAACAUUAACAUAAAUAUCUGAAGAAAGGUGCUGUACCAUUUAUAUUUUCAUGGAAUAUGAAACCAGUUUCUGAAGAAACAAAAAGUAGAGAAGUUACUUAUAUAAUUUUAGAGAAGGAAUUGUCAAUAAAAAUAAUUAAAAAUA